CGCCUGGGGAGUACGGCCGCAAGGUUAAAACUCAAAUGAAUUGACGGGGGCCCGCACAAGCGGUGGAGCAUGUGGUUUAAUUCGAUGCAACGCGAAGAACCUUACCUGGUCUUGACAUCCACAGAACCCUGUAGAGAUACGGGGGUGCCUUCGGGAACUGUGAGACAGGUGCUGCAUGGCUGUCGUCAGCUCGUGUUGUGAAAUGUUGGGUUAAGUCCCGCAACGAGCGCAACCCUUAUCCUUUGUUGCCAGCGGUCCGGCCGGGAACUC
rnacentral:rRNA from 1 species